CCGGGACCAGUUGCUCAGCUUGGUGGCCAGCGAGCAGCCGUUCGUGUAGGCGUCGGGCCGGACGUGGGCGGGGAAGCGGCGAGACAGGAUCUCCGCCACCAGCUUUUCCCAAGUCAAGUUUGAAAAGCACUCUGCACACCUGAAGAAAAUGAGUAUCUACUAAGCUGUGGUGUGACCAUGCAGCAGCAAGGAAGACAGCAGAUACAAUGACAACUGCCCUGGCUUGGGAGAGGAAGACUCCCAGGA